GCUAGUAAUACGUAGGUCAGCAUACUACGGUGAAUACGUUCCCGGGCCUUGUACACACCGCCCGUCAAACCAUGAGAGUUGGCAACACCCGAAGUCGGUAGUCUAACCGCAAGGAGGACGCCGCCGAAGGUGGGGUUGAUGAUUAGGGUUAAGUCGUAACAAGGUACC
rnacentral:rRNA from 1 species